UGGGGAAUAUUGCACAAUGGGCGCAAGCCUGAUGCAGCAACGCCGCGUGAACGAUGAAGGUCUUCGGAUCGUAAAGUUCUGUUGCAGGGGAAGAUAAUUACGGUACCCUGUGAGGAAGCCCCGGCUCACUACGUGCCAGCAGCCGCGGUAAUACGUAGGGGGCUAGCGUUAUCCGGAUUUACUGGGCGUAAAGGGUGCGUAGGUGGUCUUUCAAGUCGGUGGUUAAAGUCUACGGCUCAACCGUAGUUAGCCUCCGAAACUGGAAGACUUGAGUGCAGGGGAGGAAAGUGGAAUUCCCAGUGUAGCGGUGAAAUGCGUAGAUAUUGGGAGGAAAACCAGUAGCGAAGGCGGCUUUCUGGAAUGAAACUGACACUGAGGCACGAAAGGGGGGGUAGCGAACAGG
rnacentral:rRNA from 1 species